rnacentral:rRNA from 1 species
AUUGAACGCUGGCGGAAUGCUUUACACAUGCAAGUCGAACGGCAGCACGGGGCAACCUGGUGGCGAGUGGCGAACGGGUGAGUAAUACAUCGGAACGUGCCCAAUCGUGGGGGAUAACGUAGCGAAAGUUACGCUAAUACCGCAUACGAUCUACGGAUGAAAGCGGGGGAUCGCAAGAUCUCGCGCGAAUGGAGCGGCCGAUGUCAGAUUAGGUAGUUGGUGGGGUAAAGGCUCACCAAGCCAACGAUCUGUAGCUGGUCUGAGAGGACGACCAGCCACACUGGAACUGAGACACGGUCCAGACUCCUACGGGAGGCAGCAGUGGGGAAUUUUGGACAAUGGGCGCAAGCCUGAUCCAGCCAUUCCGCGUGCAGGAUGAAGGCCUUCGG